CGGUAGCUGGACCCACCGGGCUCGUCAGAGCCGAACCCAGCCUUCCCUGUCCGUUCAGGACAUACAACCCACCACGGG
rnacentral:ncRNA from 1 species